ACUGCAAGUCAGGGAUGAGACACACUACAACAGGAGAGGGAGCAAGCGCGAGAGGAUAUUAGAAGAGAGGCUUGUCUCCAAGAUAUGGAAGGAAGUGAGAAAUGACAGGGCUGCAAGCUUUGUAUGUAGGAGCCCGGCAGGGCGGGGGAGCGGCGAGGAGAGCCAAGUGGAUUCUCAGAAAAGGGGGGAAGCCAUCGAAGAGCUAAAGGUGAUUAGAGGGGGAUAUUGAUUUCUUAUUCUGCCAGAGAUUUAAGCAGGCAUGCGAGGAAUCUGCACCAUGGUUGGCAAAAAGAGACCCGUUGCCUCCUGUAACCAGACACUCAGGCUUUCCAGGAGCCCAGGGAGCAAGCCGAGAAGAAAGGGGGCAGUGUGGUCUAGGAAAAUUCAACUUGUCGCUGAUUUGUGCCUGAUGCCUGCUGUCCGUCAGCAGCCUCCCUUACAAUCUUUUUUUCUCUCUCUCCUUUUUUUUUCCUUGCCUUCUCCUUCUUCACUGAAGCCUAGGGGAGCCAGUAAAGAUUAAAUGUGCUUCUCAAAGGCAGCCACUUCAUGCUGCUAUGUCGAAAGGGCCAUUAUUAUUAUUAUAUUUUAAUGGUAAAAGAGAAAAGGAGAGAGGUUGAGCGAGCGAGAGAGAAGCUAGGUGUGAUGAUGACAGACUAGCUUUUCUGAGAGGAAAAGGAAAAGGGAAGGGAGAGAAAAAGGAGAGCCUCUGAGCUCAACGGAGGAUUGUGCCUGAGAAGAACCCACAGAGGAGGCUGUGCGGGCCCCGCUCCGCUUCGAAUGGUUGUGUUGAUGUUCCUUUCAGCUGGUCCUAUAGUACCCCUCCUCAGGAAUGUCUCCCCAGUGCAAGGACAAAGACUGAAGAGACUGCUAUAUUGAUGGACUCUCAAGCCAACUAUGAAGUUGAAACAAAGAAAGUGAUCACCUGAAGACACCUCCUCUGCUAAGAAACACCCCCAAAUUGUGCAGCUUCUGCCACUAGAACUCUCAGAACAAGAGACAAUCUUUUCAAGAAACAGAAAAACUCAAUAAUGACAUCUAGAUUUUCAUGAGCCAAGAACUUUCCCUUCCUCAUGUGUAUUCCUCUGUUUGUACUUAAAUUCAUGUGACAUUCAUUUUUUUCCUAGUAUGGAUAUGCUUAUUAAUGCACUUGUUUCAAAAUCCCAAAUUGCACAAAUGUGUUAAUAUUUUAAGAAACAAAAUGAAUCCUACAAGGAGAAUGAUUUUUAGCCACACAUAGGGUUGGAUCUUGAGAGUGACCUACAGAAUAAAAGUACUUUUAAAAUAAAGUAGUCAGAGGCUAUUCAAAGGGUAAAAUAAUCAUAGUACCACAUUGGUCCACUUGACACUAACCAAUCGAUCAUUUUUUUUUAAUCAAGAAAGCUAGAUUCUAUCAGAUAAAAUCACUGCUUCUAAAGAGUUUAAAUCUAGUUAGAAAAAGUUAUAGAAAUGUUUGCAAAGAUAAGUAACAGAUAGAGUCAGUAGAGGAUAAGAUCAAAAACAAAACCAAGCAAAAGAUGAGUUCAGGGGAGUUUGCCAUCAAGUUGGCAAAACUGACUUACUUAGGGAAGAAAGUUAUAAAACAGGAAAAUAUGAGAUGAACCUUGAGUGAUGUGGAAGAUUUAGAUAAAUGGAAAGGAAGGAGAAAAUGGAGUUCUUUAGGUGGUUGUAAUUGGAGGAGGAAAUGAAUACACACAUCUUGUUGACUUAAACCCAGACAUUCAGCAGCUCUCUAUACAUAUCUGGAAAAGACUGCACAGUCACCUCCUGUCUCUCACCCCAGGUAUUACUUAGAAUUAUUAUCAUAUUUCCCUUCCUUUAAAGUAAGUAAGGGUGAUUGGUGACAAUAUGGAGAACUAUGAUUUUUCCAUUAACCUAAUAAUAAUUGGUAUUUAUUGAGUUCUGUUAAGCAUUUUACAUAUUAACUCACUUAAGCCUUUCAACAGCCUUGCAAAAUAGGUAUUAUUAUCCCCAUUUUACAGGCAAGAAAACUGAGGUUUAAGUAACUUGCCGAAGUGCCAUAUACAGGGCUCACAUUCAGUAUUGCAGUUGCAAAGCUCAUGAUCUAUAGUGCCAAGUUGCAAUAUUGUAGUCAAUGUCACAAUUAUUACCCCUUUUUAUAUUCCUUGAUAUUUUUCCAUGGCAAACAAUUAGCUAUUUCAUUUAAUAAUCACCUAAAACUUUUCAGUCUUCUGAUUAAAAUUACGCUGGAGUGAUAGAAUGUAUUUUCAUGAUAGAAAUUGGGAAAAAAAAUGGGGAAUGAAGUUUAUCAGCAUUUCAGACUUGUUUUUUUUUUUUUUUUUUGCAAGACUUUGAUGAGAUUGUUCACUUUUGUCUAUGUAAAAUCCCAAAUCCUUGAGAAUAAAAAAGGGGGAGGUUUAAGUCACUUGUUGCAAUGCCCUUUUUAAUAGAGGCAAUAAAUCUAAAGGCCAUAAAUUUAGAGUGACUUACAGAAGAUCGAACUUUGGAGUGUGGCAGAGUAAGGGAUGGAAACCGGGCCCUCCAGUUCACUAUCAGUAGCUUUUGCACUGGUCUGCCCUUCCUAAAUUAAGUAUGCACUUCAAUUUGAUGAGUGGAAACAGUCUAUCUGGGCAGUAACCAGGGAGCUUUGUGCCUAGUAGAUUGCUUCUGUUCUGCACUUCUUUGGUUUCCCACCUCAAUGUAAAAAAUAGCUAGCAAUGAAGUCCAGAAGUUGUCAAUGGUUCAUCCCCAGAAGAAUGCAUAAUGUCCAAAGUUGUAUGUGUAUGAUGUCUUCAAUGGUAUUAAGUUAUUUCAAAUUCUUAGUUCACCUACAUAAAUCAUUUCUAACAAGCAUCUUCUUAACCAACUUUAUGCACAGUGUAUGUUUGUAAGUGCUUCUGCACGAAUGUUUAUACAUGACUGUUUCCAUAGUACUUAUGUUUUUAAAAAUAUUCAGUCAUUUCCUACUAUAAUCCUCAUGUAUCCAUGUAACUGACUCAAAAAUACUUCAGCCACAGAAAGCUAAAACUGAGCAAAUCUCAUUCUUCUUUUCCAUCCCCUUUGCAUGUGGCUGGCAUUUAGUAAUGAUUAAUAAUAUGGCCAGCUGAAUAACAGAGGUUUGAGACACAAUUCUUUCUCAAAGGAGUCAGCUAAGCUGGGUCUACUUAUGGACAAACAUCUAAAUGUGUGGAAGUAUCUGAUAUUUGACAAUGGUAAAUUUCCACUUAGCUAGCUAGCAUUGUCAGACUUCAAUCUCCUCAUGGCUCUGGCCGUCCUGUUUUAAGCAUGAUAAUUGUUGGCCACAUCUCACAUAGUUCUCAUUGAGUGAGUUCAUAAAUAAACAGGGUUUUUUUUUUUUUUUAAAGAGCAGCCAAGCACAAAGUGUGACUUUGUUGACAUUUUAUGUGACUUUGUCAUAUGUUCCUAACCCCCAAUAAAAGC
rnacentral:lncRNA from 1 species